GAUGAAGAACGUAGCGAAAUGCGAUAAGUAGUGUGAAUUGCAGAAUUCAGUGAAUCAUCGAAUCUUUGAACGCACAUUGCGCCCCAUGGUAUUCCGUGGGGCAUGCCUGUUCGAGCGUCAUUAUAACCCCUCAAGCUCAGCUUGGUGUUGGGGCCUGCUGCACUGGCAGCCCUUAAAAUCAGUGGCGGCGCCAUCUGGCUCUAAGCGUAGUAAUUCUUCUCGCUAUGGAGUCCUGGUGGAUGCUUGCCAUCAACCCCCAAUUUUUCUAUGGUUGACCUCGGAUCAGGUAGGGAUACCCGCUGAACUUAAGCAUAUCAAUAAGCGGAGGA
rnacentral:misc_RNA from 1 species